rnacentral:rRNA from 1 species
UACGGGGGGAGCAAGCGUUGUUCGGAUUUACUGGGCGUAAAGGGCGCGUAGGCGGCCUCCGCAAGUCGACUGUGAAAUCUCUGGGCUUAACCCAGAACGGUCAGCCGAUACUGCGGGGCUAGAGUGCAGAAGGGGCAACUGGAAUUCUCGGUGUAGCGGUGAAAUGCGUAGAUAUCGAGAGGAACACCUGCGGCGAAGGCGGGUUGCUGGGCUGACACUGACGCUGAGGCGCGAAAGCUAGGGGAGCGAACGGG